CACCAACUGUUUCAUUGGCCUUAAAAAAUACUAGGCUAAACUUAAGUGGUAAAGAUCUGAAAUAAAAAGAUGCAUCUUUAUGUCUGAACAGCAAUUUUUCAUAGGUCUCUAAUAACUUGCAUUUCCUUAUCUAUGGAUAAGGAGAUCUGAAAUUGAUCUACAUUUUCUUUAGUAAUGUUUUCUCUGUUUAUUGAGAACAGAUAUCUUCAUCUCCUUCAUGCAUUAUCCUUAGUAACAGAUGUCAGUAGGAUCCAGAGCCAUUUUGGAACUUUACCAAGGAUUAAGGAUGAGCACAGAUCACAUCAAGAGUCUGUAAGAAGACAGUAUUUCUGAUUUAGACCCAUAAAGACAGUAUCUCAUAAUUGUGAGCAAAGAUUGCAUGUGAAGGAUUAUAUUUGUUUUUCCUGACAAGAUGUUGCAUACUAUGGAAUGUAAAUUUUUGUGAUGAUUGGAGAGGAACUGAGCUCCUUUCUAGCUCAGUUUCUUUCUAGCUCAGUCCCUUUCCAAUCACCAUAAAAUGGAAGCACAAACCUUCAACAAAAUAUAUUCCUUAGCUGAGCUUGAGAUUUUGCAUAGCCUCUCAUUUAUUCUUUCUAGAAUCAGUAAAGUGCAUUAGGAUUCAGAAGACUCCACUUGUUCUAUUUGCUCUCCAUUGCAUUAUGACUUCAUCAGGCACUGCUAUCAUGGGGCACUGGUAACAAAUGUAUGUACUUUCUAAAUACUUACGAUGUAGUAGCUAGGUGGCUACAUGUUGGGCAAAAUGGGAUAAGACAAUAUCAUUUUAACAUGCUUCAAGUACUAUGUCAAGGUCUUACUAUGUACUAUUUCAUUUUAAUCCUAAAAAAAAAAAAACACUCAGAAGAAGGUAUGAUCGGGUAUAUUUUAUAGAUACAGAGGCUAGAGUUCAGAGACAUGAACCUACCUGGCCCCCUCUGCACAUAAACAAUUAUUAAAAAUAUCACUUUGGAGGCCAUGUGCAGAUCAGAUUUGGAAGUGACCAAGACUGGAGGCAGGGACACCAGAGUUUUCUGUUAAAAACUGGUCCAUGCAAGAAAAGAUGACUCCUGAAAUAAGACAGUGAUCAUUAGGAUGAAGAGGAAGAGAAGAUUUGAGGAAUACUUAGAACAGAAUUUACUGAAUUUACUGGUUGAAUUGAAUGUGAAGAGGAGAUGAAUAAAGAAGAAAACACCCUCAAAGGAACAAAUAUGAAACAAUCUCUGGAAAAUGGAAUUUGAUUUUGAUUCAACAACAGGAGAAUUCUACUGUUUUUCUCCAGCAGCUCCACGAUAAAAGGGAACCCUGAGCAGAACACAUGCACAAACUCAUGCCAUACCCUAAGGGACAAGGUUCCCCACAUCUACUUGGAAAUCUUUGGGAUGCUCAAUGAUUAGCUCUUUGGAACUGAGAGAUGAGAUGAGGCCUGGAAAACUUCCCCCAGUACAGUCAAGUUCCUGUUGACUAAUUCUGUGACCACCAGUGACAGUCUUUGAGUCCGUGAGGCAGAGUUGCGGCAGCACAGGCUUUGCUUGGAGUUGGAUGGUUCGCACCCUGCUUGGCAUGGUUUCUAAGAGACAUCCUCUGAGUGGAUGAGGGGAGAAUCCAGCAGGCCUCUAGUCACACUGGACAGUUGCUCUGAUUCAUUUCUGGACUUCAGUGGAAGAAGCAGCCCUUAUUUAGGAUAUUGUUAGUCUUUGGCAGAGGGAAUACAAAGCAAUGGAAGGGUGAUGUGAUGGCUCCGAAAGCUUCUGUUGGAUGUAGAAUAUAAAGUUUGCUCACCUUUUUUAAUCCAAAGAGAAAAACAAGGAGAGAAAAAUCUAAACCCAGCAGAAGAGAAAGUUUAAGAAAGCGGUCGUCGCCAAUACCAAAAUUAGCUAUGAUAUUCAGGAAGAAAAAAAUGGAAACACGAUAACCACAGUCAAUAAAGACCAAGGCCACAUUCCAUUGACCAGAGCUCAGCCACGCGCCACACCUGGCUAAAGAGACUCUGGCUGAAGAAUUCCCUGAAUAUUUUAAUGUAGCUCUAGGUUAUAACACAGAACAACCACAAGGUGGCAGAAGAACUCCAUUCUUGUAAAUCUCUUAGUUGCUUCUUUAUUUCAUCUUCCCUAUUCCAUCUAAUGUUCCCUGAAUUUUACUAUUUUGUUGGUUUGAAAAUAUGUGUGACUUACGUCCUUUAAAGGAUUUGGUUCGUAAGGUUUUGAAUAGACUGGAAUAUAAAACAUUUAUAGAAAAG
rnacentral:lncRNA from 1 species